AGAGUUUGAUCAUGGCUCAGAAUCAACGCUGGCGGCGUGCCUAACACAUGCAAGUCGAACGAGAUCCAUCUUGUGGCAACACUUGGGAAGAUCUAGUGGCGAACGGGUGAGUAACACGUGAGAAACCUACCCCGGAGACCGGGAUAACCCCCCGAAAGGGGAGCUAAUACCGGAUGUCCCCAUCGGAUCGCAUGGUCUGAUGUGGAAAUGGAUUCCGCUCCGGGAGGGUCUCGCGGCCCAUCAGCUCGUUGGUGAGGUAACGGCUCACCAAGGCAUCGACGGGUAGCUGGUCUGAGAGGACGACCAGCCACACUGGGACUGAGACACGGCCCAGACUCCUACGGGAGGCAGCAGUGGGGAAUCUUGCGCAAUGGGCGAAAGCCUGACGCAGCAACGCCGCGUGGGGGAUGAAGGCCUUCGGGUUGUAAACCCCUUUCAGCAGGGACGAAAUUGACGGUACCUGCAGAAGAAGCCCCGGCUAACUACGUGCCAGCAGCCGCGGUAAUAC
rnacentral:rRNA from 1 species